UGGGGAAUUUUGGACAAUGGGGGCAACCCUGAUCCAGCCAUCCCGCGUGUGCGAUGAAGGCCUUCGGGUUGUAAAGCACUUUUGGCAGAGAAGAAACGACUCUGGAUAAUACCCGGGGUUAAUGACGGUAUCUGCAGAAUAAGCACCGGCUAACUACGUGCCAGCAGCCGCGGUAAUACGUAGGGUGCAAGCGUUGAUCGGAAUUACUGGGCGUAAAGCGUGCGCAGGCGGUUCGGAAAGAAAGAUGUGAAAUCCCAGAGCUUAACUUUGGAAUGGCAUUUUUAACUCCCGAGCUAGAGUAUGUCAGAGGGGGGUAGAAUUCCACGUGUAGCAGUGAAAUGCGUAGAGAUGUGGAGGAAUACCGAUGGCGAAGGCAGCCCCCUGGGAUAAUACUGACGCU
rnacentral:rRNA from 1 species